ensembl:lncRNA
GAUGGGUGCAGCAUAUCUUGCUCUGACUGCCAUGGCUCAUCAUUCAUUCACUCACUCAUUCAUUCUUUCCCAGGACCCCUACCACCACCACUAGCUUUAUCUGAAUGCCCUAGGGCUAUUUAAUUUUCCUAGGGGCACUUACGACUCGAUGAGACCAUCUUUUGUAUGUAUUUGCUUCUAUAGAGUGGGUCUCCCCAGCUUGAGAAUAAGCUUUAUGAGAGCAGGCACCUUGGCAGUCUUCAUCAUGCUGUGGGGUGAGCUGUAUUGGUACUCAGGGAUUACUACUCAAGGACUGACUGGCUGAAUUAUGUAAAUGGUUGUUGAGUGGCUACCAUGGUGCAGACACUGGACUAGGUGAGGGGACAUGCAAUCAAAGCAGCCUUCUUAAGAGAGCAUGGCCAGAGAGAGAGCAGGGAUGUGCACCCCUACAGGAUGACCUGACUGCGGGCACCAUAGGGUCUGCUGCUGGGGAGGCACAGAGGAGAUGCGUGUUUGAGCCCCAAGCCAGGAUUCCUCCCCGGCACCUGCAGCCCCAUCUCCAAGCUCACUUCCCUGGGAAUCUCACCCACUAGCAUAAGAGCUCCUCCAGAGUCACACAUGUCUCUCUAAGGGCAGAGCCAUAAUGUUACAUUUGCCUAUAACAUUACUUGACUGCCUCUCUAUACUGUUUCCAAAAGUUCUGUGGACAGCCCUGCUUGGGACCAUAACUCCAUGCAUCCAUAUGGCCUCCAUGCCUACCAUGGCGUCCAGUUCUGGGGCACCCAGUCACUCUCUGUUGAACAAAGGAAUGGACAGGGAAGAGAACUAUGGCCUCAAGAAGAUCCAGGCCAUCAGUUCUGACCAUCAUCCAGACCAUCAGUUCCUCCCAGUAGAACUCCCUUCCAACCUGGCUCUCCAGAACACCCACCCCAGCUUCCCAGAAGUCUUGCGACACUUCACAUCCCCACACUCUGGACGUUUGUUGGGCGCAGCUGAGCACAGUGGACAAGCUAGAUGGAGGGAAAGUAAGGUGUCUUCUGAAAUCAGACAGCCAAGGUUGGUUGGUUGGUCAGUUUGUUUUAGAGAAGGCGAAAACUUUAUUGGGUGUAUAUAAAGGGUGAUUUCAGUUGUCCUCUGAAGGGCACCCUGACUUUCAGCGUGAGACCAGGCUGCAUCACUUACAAACUGUGUGACCUUGGGCAGAAUCUCAGUUUCUUUUUAUCCUGGUUGUAAAGAAUUUAGUUGUUAUUAAUAUUGGCUUCAAGGUCACAGAACCUCUCUUCAUAGUCUAUUUCUUCCUUCACUCCCCAGUGAGGAUUCUUCACCCCACCGCCCAAGUCUGGCCCUGACAUGCCUCUACUAGAGUUUGUCGGUGGGUCUCUCAACUCUGCCUCCCGUGGUCCCCAUUCCCUACUGGGUGGAAUUCCUGCCUGUGCCCACCCUGCCCUCUUCUGUUAUCGACAACAGCAGUUUUAGUCAUCUGACUUUGGUUGAUUGGUGUUCAGUUAGCACAGGAUUGAGAUCAGAGGGUAUACAUUUUAGUUAGAGAGACUAAUCACAAACUCGGUGAGUGAGCGCAGUGUUAGGGGCACUUGGUUUCCUCCCAGCUGUGUGGCCUUGGGCAAGCAACUUGACCUCUGUGGGAACCCACUGAAUGCACUGGUCCUCACCGUGCAAUCAUGAUAGGUGGUGAGUGCCCCAAAUAGGAUGUCUGGGCCAGGUCAGUUCUCGGUUAUUCUUGCUCUUUUCUCUGCACAGAAGGGAGUAAAAUCCUUUCCUCAAGCAUCAUUCAGACUGUGGCCUCAGACACCUGCCUGCUUCCCACUUAUCCCACACAGGAGGCCAAAUAUAACUCCUGACACAUCCUUUUGCCUUAAAGCAAGAGGCUUGUCUUGGCUCCACUGCUCUUAUCUCUACAGGCACCUGGUUCAGUCUCUGCCAGCCAGCUAAGUCUGUUUGGCUAUCUCUCACCCACCUUCCUGUCAUAACACGUGCUUGAAAUGCCCUUCCUGUCCUCUUUCCAAAACCAGGCCCCACCUUCUUGGAAGCAGAUUUAAGAAUCACUUCCUCCCUUAAGUCUGCUUGACUCAAACCUCCCAGUUUCAGGAUUGCUAAUCACGAAAAAAUAUUUCAUGCCUACUGCAGCCUUCCUCCACCCCGUCUCCUCCACCCUUUGCAACUAUGACGUAAUAAGAUUGCACCUGUCACAUCUGUACCUGUGGGCACCUGUCUUUCCAGAUAUCUGGUUGUACAUGUGAGUGGUUACAGAGUAGGAGGCAAGAAUAGACAGUGACCAAAAACUCAACCAACAAAACAAAAAAGUAGCUGGUGAGGUGGAGAGAGGACUGGGCCAGAUCAGACCUAUGUCCAUUUGACCACUUACUACAUGGGUGACACUUAGCAAGUUACUUAGCCUUUCUCUUUGAGCCUCUAUCUCCUGGCAUAUUUGUUAAGAAAAUCAGAAAAUUACUAGGACUUCCCUGGUGGUCCAGUGGUUAAGAAUCUGCCUGCCAAUGCAGGGGACAUGGGUUUGAUCCCCGGUCAGGGAACUCCAGCAUUCUUGCCUGGAGAAUCCCAGGGACCAGGGAGCCUGGUGGGCUGCCGUCUAUGGGGUCGCACAGAGUCGGACACAACUGAAGUGACUUAGCAGCAGCAGCAGCAGCGGCAGGAAACUAAGAUAGCACAUGUUGUGGGGCAACUAAGCCCGCAUGCCACUAGUAGAGAGAAGUCCCCACACGCUGCGAUGAACACCCAGCCCAGCCAAAAAGAAAAAAGUACUACUAUUAUUAUUUACCUUAUCCAGUACUGUCCUUGCUCAGUACUGUUCAGACUCUGUCCUAAACACUUUACAUAGACUUUUACAUUUAAUUUUCACUCAACACUAGCAGGUAGGUAACAUUAUUUUCCCUAUGCUUCAGUUGAAAAUACUGAGACACAGUAGAAACUCAACACAGAUAUUAAGUACCUUGCCCAGGUCACAUAGCUAAAAAAUGGCAAAGCCAGAAUUUGCACCUAGGCAGUUGGAUCCCAGAGUCCAUGUUCCUAAGCACUCUCCUUACUGCCUCCCACAUGUAAUCCUGUGUGUGUGCAAAGCCCUUGACACAGUGCUUGUCACUUCAGUCCCAGUGAGGAAGGUGACUGCAAGUGUAGGAGGCCAGGGCAAGUGUCUCUUUCCCUGAAGCAUGUCAGGACAGAAUAGAGAGCGGACACUUUACACGCAUUUCCAGGGCCUAAGAAAGGUGGGGAAGAAAUAUAAAGAAUUUAAAGCCAUAUUUUCCUACCCAGAUGUGUCUUAUAAACACACAUAUGCCACAUGGACACACACUUCUCACAAAUACAUCACACUCACACAUACACAAUCAGUGGCCACUCUGAACCCAUGAAACUUCCAUCAGGAAACCUUCCUGAGCUGGUCCAGGCCUCACAAUCUCUCAGAUCCCUAAAUGUGUACAGCACUGACCAUUAGGCCCAGCCAAGCCAGCCCUCACUAUGUAGUGUUCUAUUCAUUCAAAUAACUAUGCAAUAACUACUGAAAAUCGGGACCAAGUAUUGGAGAAGGAGGACCAAAAAAAAUGUUGUUUCUGUCCUCCAGGAACUUUGAAUCUCCUAGGAGAAUCUAGCAUACACAUCAAGACGUCACAGUAGGACAAAGGAAUAAGUGUUGUCAGUGACAGACAGGUAUUUUGGAAAGCUUCCUAGAGGUGACACUUGAGUUAAAUUUUAAAGGUGAACAGGAGUUAUUCUGGCAAAGGAAGAGGUGUGGAGGAAGGAGAGUAAGGAAGAGGGAACAGGUUAACAAGCUUGGGAAACCCCAAGUCGUUCUAUCAGCUGAAAUGAGUUUCUCAUAGAGGCAGAACAUGAGGCCAUAGGGAUAAGCAGGGCCCAAAUGCCAAAAAGCCUGAUGUGCUGACCUGAGAGAUUCAGAGUCUUUCCCAAAAAGCGUCAUGGAAGGGUUUUUGGCAGAGAAACAUCACAAUCGAAUCUGCAUUUCAGAAAGGUUGACUCAGCAACACAGAGAUAAAGGGGUGACAGGGUGAAAAUGAGGGGACAUUGAAAAGACUUUCAACUAUCUCUGGAAUAAAUGAACUGAAAUUCUUAUCACAGUGGGAAUGGAGAGGGUAUUUAUGAGAUACUAUGGAAAAGUGCGGAGGUCAUCCACUGAUAUAGGUAACAUGAAGGUCAAAGGUUAGACUGGAAGGAGAGUAAGGAAGAGGAACAGGUUAACAAGCUUGGGAAACCCCAAGUCGUUCUAUCAGCUGAAAUGAAGAGUUUCUCAUAGAGGCAGAACAUGAGGCCAUAGGGAUAAGCAGGGCCCAAAUGCCAAAAAGCCUGAUGUGCUGACCUGAGAGAUUCAGAGUCUUUCCCAAAAAGGGUCAUGGAAGGGUUUUUGGCAGAGAAACAUCACAAUCGAAUCUGCAUUUCAGAAAGGUUGACUCAGCAACACAGAGAUAAAGGGGUGACAGGGUGAAAAUGAGGGGACAUUGAAAAGACUUUCAACUAUCUCUGGAAUAAAUGAACUGAAAUUCUUAUCACAGUGGGAAUGGAGAGGGUAUUUAUGAGAUACUAUGGAAAAGUGCGGAGGUCAUCCACUGAUAUAGGUAACAUGAAGGUCAAAGGUUAGACUGGAAGGAGAGGAGCCAAUGAUACUUUUUGACUUCUGGAGUUCCAGGUGUCUCUUGGACACCCAGGUGAUACCUAAUAGGCUUAUGAAUAUGUGUGUGUCUGUAUUUUUCCCCAUUAUUACAGUUUGCAAGACAUAUGGACUGGAGAUACAAGUUUGAGUGCCAGGGCAGUACAGGUAGCAAGAAUGUCGAUGUAGUCACUCAGAGAAAGUGUGGGCCAGGAGGUCUGUGGACUCAGGACUGAGCUCUGAGGAGCUCCAACUUCAAGCAGUUGAAGGCUUGGAUUUGUGAACAUUCUUCCAGGAGCAGGGUGUGAAGAAAGGAGUGAGAAAAGGAGAUCAACAACAUUUAGGGGAAAACAAGGUGAACAGACGAGAAGAGAGGGACGAAACUGCAGGAGAGACCAGAACACGGUGUCAGGUCGAGGCAAGUCAGUAGCAUCAAACACUGCAGACGUCAACGAAGAUAAGGACAGGAAACUUCAUGUUAGGUUUGGCAACUAAGAGGUGGCCAGUGCGGCCAGAGUGAGGUCACUCGAGCGAUGAAAGGGUGGGUUUCCGGCUGUUGAAAUCUUUUCAACUGAAACGCAGUUUGAGCAUCUGGCUGGGAGCUGCACCCCGCGCUGCUUUCCCGAGUUCAUCAGAGUCGAGCGUUCACACUGACACACCAGAAGACUAACAGGAACUUGGCGUUUUCGAACAGAGCGCGCAGGAAUCCUGCGCAGGCGCUUCCGAAGUCGGUCGGCUCUCCCGCGAGCCCCUCCCCAGGCCUGCAGAGGGAGCUGCGCCUCGGAGAAUCCAGGGCGUGACGCCGCUCUAGCCAGCGCUCGGGCUCGGUGGCGGGCGCCGCAGCUCCGCGUCCGGCUCGCCUCCUCCCAGCACAGGUGGGUCCGCCCGCGGUGGGCAGCAGUGCUUGGGAGCCGUGGGGCGGGCGGGUAGCGGCAACCUCUGGGCACGGAGUGGUCCCCAUCACCUACGUGCCCCAACUCGGGCUCGGCUCCGGCGGAUCGGGCUGUGGCCAGGGCCGCACGUGUGCAAGUCCGGUUCGGGUGGGUUCCUCCUGGACUUGCAGUGUCUGUCCCAGGACCCCUUAACACCCCAGGGGUCUCCGCCCGGGCUUGCUCACGGCUUCCUGGGGACAUCGAGGGGCGGAGCUCCAAGGGGCGGGACUCCCAUG